UUUUAAAUACUCUUUUAUUGUGUCUACAUUUAUUUAUUUCUAGCACUAGUCCACUUUUAUAAAAUGAGCCACUUGGUCAAAAGUUAAUGUUGCAAUAUUCUAGAGAGCCACAAAAAAUUAGGGGCUUUUUGAGCUUAUCUGAAAACUAAGAUAAUUCAAAGGGGCAUUUAAUAAAUGAUUUGGACUUCGUUUUAAUUAUUUUGAGGCACCAAAAACACUUUACAAAAAUGUAGGUUUCAAUUUUAUAAAAGCU
rnacentral:lncRNA from 1 species